UGAACGCUGGCGGCGUGCUACACAUGCAAGUCGAACGGGAAACUUUUCAUUGAAGCUUCGGCAGAUUUGGUCUGUUUCUAGUGGCGGACGGGUGAGUAACGCGUGGGUAACCUACCCUGUACAGGGGGAUAACAGUCAGAAAUGACUGCUAAUACCGCAUAAGACCACAGGACCGCAUGGUCCGGUGUGAAAAACUCCGGUGGUAUAAGAUGGACCCGCGUUGGAUUAGCUAGUUGGCAGGGUAACGGCCUACCAAGGCGACGAUCCAUAGCCGGCCUGAGAGGGUGAACGGCCACAUUGGGACUGAGACACGGCCCAGACUCCUACGGGAGGCAGCAGUGGGGAAUAUUGCACAAUGGGGGAAACCCUGAUGCAGCGACGCCGCGUGAAGGAAGAAGUAUCUCGGUAUGUAAACUUCUAUCAGCAGGGAAGAUAGUGACGGUACCUGACUAAGAAGCCCCGGCUAACUACGUGCCAGCAGCCGCGGUAAUACGUAGGGGGCAAGCGUUAUCCGGAUUUACUGGGUGUAAAGGGAGCGUAGACGGACUGGCAAGUCUGAUGUGAAAGGCGGGGGCUCAACCCCUGGACUGCAUUGGAAACUGUUAGUCUUGAGUGCCGGAGAGGUAAGCGGAAUUCCUAGUGUAGCGGUGAAAUGCGUAGAUAUUAGGAGGAACACCAGUGGCGAAGGCGGCUUACUGGACGGUAACUGACGUUGAGGCUCGAAAGCGUGGGGAGCAAACAGG
rnacentral:rRNA from 1 species